CGCGAUUCGCCCUUCGGGGUGCACCAGGCGCGAAAACUCUACAAUGCAGGCAACUGCGAUAGGGGAACAUCGAGUGAUCCUCAUAUUGGGGGUCUGUCCCACCGUCUAAAAAACGGUGGUUAGCAAGGGCCGGGCAAGACCGGUGCCAGCCGCCGCGGUAAUACCGGCGGCUCGAGUGGUGGCCGAUAUUAUUGAGUCUAAAGGGUCCGUAGCCGGCUUUGCAAGUCUCUCGGGAAAUCCAGCGGCUUAACCGUUGGUCUUCCGGGGGGUACUACAUUGCUUGGGACUGGGAGAGGUAAGAGGUACUCAGGGGGUAGGAGUGAAAUCCUGUAAUCCUCUGGGGACCACCGGUGGCGAAGGCGUCCUACCAGAACAGGUCCGACGGUGAGGGACGAAAGCUAGGGGCACGAACCGGAUUAGAUACCCGGGUAGUCCUAGCCGUAAACGAUGCUCGCUAGGUGUCACAACAGUCGUGAACUGUUGUGGUGCCGUAGGGAAGCCGUGAAGCGAGCCACUUGGGAAGUACGACCGCAAGGUUGAAACUUAAAGGAAUUGGCGGGGGAGCAC
rnacentral:rRNA from 1 species